UGAAUUUUUUUUAAUUUAUAUUGAGAAAAAAGAUAAAAUAUGAAGUUUUGAAAGUGGAGUAUUUAAAGGUGGCAAUGGCAGUGUAUAAGUUAUUGAGGCCAAGAAUAAAAGUGAGGUAAUAUUUUGUGAGUUAUAUACAUAUAAACUUGGAUCUUUGUUGAGAUAUAAAUAAGAUGCUUGUUUUCCUUUGCUAUAUGGAGAAAAAUAAUGUGUUUUCUUUGCAGAAGAACUUGUCCAAGAUCAAUAAUAUUUCAGUUUUCUCAAUGAUUCAUGCAUGCCUCAGGCUACAUAUAAAGAGAAGAUCCUUUUGAAGUGUAUUUGCAUAGUAGAUAUCUUCUAGAGUCAUGUAUCAUGCAAGAAUCUUCUAUGAUCAAGAGUUGUUCAUCGGGUGUAAUAUUCCCUCGUCUAACAUCGGGUCGAAGAUAAUUUAGCCAACGAAGUCUGCAACUCUUUCCGAUUUUGCCAAGGAGUUCCAAACACCUUCACCAUGAUUUGCAAUAUAGUUGAUCAAGAUCAAGUCUUCUUCCAUUGUCCAUGGUCCUUUUCGAACAUCAGGAUCUUGAGAAGAACUGCACUCCUUUUUGUCCAUUAU